rnacentral:rRNA from 1 species
CGAUCUACUGGAACAUUAUUGACGCUGAGACGCGAAAGCGUGGGGAGCAAACAGGAUUAGAUACCCUGGUAGUCCACGCCCUAAACGAUGUACAUUAGUUGUUGCUAUGCUAGACAUAGCAGUAAUGCAGUUAACACAUUAAAUGUACCGCCUGGGGAGUACGGUCGCAAGAUUAAAACUCAAAGGAAUAGACGGGGACCCGCACAAGCGGUGGAGCAUGUGGUUUAAUUCGACGAUACGCGAAGAACCUUACCUGGCCUUGACAUAGAAAGAAUUUAGCAGAGAUGUAAAAGUGCUAGUUUACUAGAGCUUUCAUACAGGUGCUGCACGGCUGUCGUCAGCUCGUGUCGUGAGAUGUUAGGUUAAGUCCUGCAACGAGCGCAACCCUCGUGUUUAGUUACUAACAGAUUAUGCUGAGGACUCUAGACAUACUGCCUGGGCAACCAGGAGGAAGGUGAGGACGACGUCAAGUCAUCAUGGCCCUUACGGCCAGGGCUACACACGUGCUACAAUGGGGUAUACAAAGAGCAGCGAUACCGCGAGGUGGAGCUAAUCUCAUAAAAUAUCUCCCAGUUCGGAUUACACUCUGCAACUCGAGUGUAUGAAGUUGGAAUCGCGUAGUAAUCGUAGAUCAGCAAUG